GGGGAGGUGUAGGGUAUUUUUGGAAUAAAAGAAAAUAGUGGGGAGGUGUAAAGUAUUUUUCGAAUAAAAGAAAAUAGUGAAGAGGUGUAGAAGCACUUGGGAUGGUGGAGGGAGCAACACUCCAUUUUUUUCUUAAUUAAGUUAGUGUGAGCCCAAUAAAUUUGCAACCCACCUGACAUACUUAAAUAAAACAACAGCGAAAAUUAAGUUUGUAGUAACUAAAGUUUUCAAACAAAAUUGAGAAUUGAUAAAAGACCCUUUUGAAAGUAAACUUAAUUAAUGGAAAAUUCACAC
rnacentral:lncRNA from 1 species